CUUCCCCACAUCAGGGACAUUCUGACAACUCGCCCAGCAAGAUUGACGAAGUUGCAUAUUCUUCCCUGAACUUCAAUGCCCAAGAAUCAAAGAAACCAACUUCAGCCUCUCCAUCCUUAACAGCCUCAGAAACGGUUUAUUCAGAAGUGAAAAAGAAGUGAUGCAACCAGUCCUGCUCUCUGUACUGCUGACUUAUUCCAAGCUCCUCCUCCCCAUCCCUAGGAGAUCCCUUUACCCUCAGGGAAAAUGGGAGGAGUGUCUUCCCCACCCUCCCUCCCUUAACCCCCUAAUGAGGCUCCUCCAGGCUGCCUGGUCACAGCCCCUUACUUCAGUGUUAAGAGA